UACGGGGGGGGGGCAAGCGUUGUUCGGAAUUACUGGGCGUAAAGGGCUCGUAGGCGGCCAACUAAGUCGGAUGUGAAAUCCCCAAGCUUAACUUGGGAACUGCAUCCGAUACUGGAUGGCUUGAAUCCGGGAGAGGGAUGCAGAAUUCCAGGUGUAGCGGUGAAAUGCGUAGAUAUCUGGAGGAAUACCGGUGGCGAAGGCGGCAUCCUGGACCGGCAUUGACGCUGAGGAGCGAAAGCUAGGGGAGCAAACGGGG
rnacentral:rRNA from 1 species